rnacentral:tRNA from 1 species
CAGAUGUUAUUUUAUAUAAAAUAUAGACUUUGGGAGUUUAAGAAAGGAAUAUUUCCUACUAUCUGA